GAUGAACGCUGGCGGCGUGCCUAAUACAUGCAAGUCGAGCGAACGGACGCGACGCUUGCUUCUCUGUUGUUAGCGGCGGACGGGUGAGUAACACGUGGAUACCCUCCCUAUCAGACUGGGAUCACUUCGGGACUCCGGCGCUAAUACCGGAUAAUAUUUUGAACCGUAUGGUUCAAAAGUGAAAGACGGUCUUGCUGUCUGUAAUCGAUGGUUCCGGGCUGCAUUAGCUAGUUGGUAAGGUAACGGCUUACCAAGGCAACGAUGCCUAGCCGAACUGAGGGGGGGGUCGGCCACACGGGAACUGAGACACGGACCAGACUCCUACGGGAGGCAGCAGUAGGGAAUCGUACGCAAUGGGCGAAAGCCUGACGGAGCAACGCCGCGUGAGUGAUGAAGGCCUUCGGAUCGUAAAACUCUGUUAUUAGGGAAGAACAUAUGUGUAAGGAACUGUGCACAGCGUGACGGUAACUAAUCAGAAAGCCACGGCUAACUACGUG
rnacentral:rRNA from 1 species